rnacentral:sRNA from 1 species
GGAUCCACUCCGCCAUCGAUGCAUCCCAGACCCCCGAUGUCGUGUUCGCAAGCAUCCUAGCAGCCUUCUCCAAAGCCACAUGCUGAUCAUCUGAGAGCAGUCAAAUCUACUUCCCCAAAAAGAGACCAGGAUGAAGUAACAGACUGCUAUGAAGGACCACAAAAACGGCAGCCUCUGGAAAAACCAUUAGAAAGUCAGUGGCAGAUCCAGUAAAUAAUAUCGCCAGCCUCAGCAUAAUCUGCUGCUGACUCGAUUCAGUGGACUCUAAAGUGCCCAGCCUCCUGACCUGAGCUCUCCUGCCAUCUGUGAGACUACCAGAGGUCUUAUCUGCCGUCCACAUGGCAACUGGGCAUGAGUACCUGGCCACCUUGCUUCCCUCUUUGCCUGGUCCAACCUAGUAUCAGAAGGCCAGGCGAGACUGCAACACUGCUCAUCACCCCGCGGCGUGAUCCCUGCUCUUAGGUGCUGGGCAGAGGGGAAGGGUGGUCAGGGUGAGGAUGGUGAGGGAGGGCUGGUGAGGGGCUCAGAGGAAUACUCGGAACAACAGCAGUGUUAUUGUAGUGUGGCAGUUUCUUUUAUACAUAGGUGAGAGUUUU